GACGAACGCUGGCGGCGUGCUUAACACAUGCAAGUCGAACGGAGUGGCGAACGGGUGAGUAACACGUGGGUGACCUGCCCUGCACUCCGGGAUAAGCCUGGGAAACUGGGUCUAAUACCGGAUAGUGUGGGAUGGGCCCGGGGCCUAUCAGCUUGUUGGUGGGGUAAUGGCCUACCAAGGCGGCGGCGGGUAGCCGGCCUGGGAGGGUGGACGGCCACAUUGGGACUGAGGCACGGCCCAGACGCGUACGGGCGGCAGCAGGGGGGAAUCGUGCCCAAUGGGCGGAAGCCUGAUGCAGCGACGCCGCGUGGGGGAUGACGGCCUUCGGGUUGUAAACUCCGUUCACCAUCGACGCGGUAGAUGGAGAAGAAGCACCGGCUAACUACGUGCCAGCAGCCGCGGUAAUUC
rnacentral:rRNA from 1 species